AGCGCAGGCGGGUUGGCAAGUCAUUGGUGAAAUCCUGAGGCUUAACCUCAGGACUGCCAAUGAUACUGCCGAUCUUGAGUACAGAAGAGGAAGACGGAAUUCCUGGUGUAGCGGUGAAAUGCGUAGAUAUCAGGAAGAACACCGGUGGCGAAGGCGGUCUUCUGGUCUGUAACUGACGCUCAUGCUCGAAAGCGUGGGGAGCAAACAGGAUUAGAUACCCUGGUAGUCCACGCCCUAAACGAUGGAUACUCGAUGUCGGGUCGCAAGGCCCGGUGUCCAAGCUAACGCGUUAAGUAUCCCACCUGGGGAGUACGAUCGCAAGGUUGAA
rnacentral:rRNA from 1 species